AACGUAGGAGGCAAGCGUUAUCCGGAGUUACUGGGCGUAAAGAGCGUGUAGGCGGGCUGGCAAGUCUGGUGUGAAAGCUCCCGGCUAAACUGGGAGAGUGCAUUGGAGACUGCCAAUCUAGAGGCUGUCAGAGGGUCGUGGAAUUCCGGGUGUAGUGGUGAAAUGCGUAGAGAUCCGGAGGAACACCAGUGGCGAAGGCGACGACCUGGGGCAGAACUGACGCUGAGACGCGAAAGCACGGGGAGCGAAC
rnacentral:rRNA from 1 species